GACGAACGCUGGCGGCGUGCCUAAUACAUGCAAGUCGAGCGCUGAAGGUUGGUGCUUGUACCAACGGUAUGAGCGGCGAACGGGUGAGUAACGCGUGGGGAAUCUACCUUUAAGCGUGGGACAACUUUUGGAAACGAAUGCUAAUACCGCAUAAAAUCUUUAAACACAAGUUUUAAGUUUGAAAGAUGCAAUUGCAGCACCCAAUGAUUAUCCCGCGGCGUCUUUGGCUGGUUGUGAGGUAAAGGCCUUACAAGGCGAAGGUACAAAGCCGACCUUAAAGGGGGAUCGGCCCCAUUGGGAAUGAGGCACGGGCCAAACUCCUAAGGGAGGCAGCAGUAGGGAAUCUUCGGCAAUGGGCGGAAGUCCGACCGGAGAAAGCCGCGUGAGGGAAGGAGGUUUUCGGAUCGUAAAACUCUGUUGAUAGAGGAGAACGUUAGUGAGAGUGAAAAGUGCAUCAAGUGACGGUAACUACCCAGAAAGGGACGGCUAACUACGUG
rnacentral:rRNA from 1 species